rnacentral:tRNA from 1 species
CCUGGUGGCUCAGAUGGUAAAGCGUCUGCCUGCAAUGCAGGAGACCCAGGUUCAAUCCCUGGGUCAGGA